rnacentral:misc_RNA from 1 species
AAAAAAUUGGUUAGGGAAGCGAUUAAAAAAAAAGAAUGCCGAAUGUUCGUAAAUGCGAUAAAUGUCAUUCACACUGUUCCGGAAUAAUCAAUUGCCGAUGGCCAGUUUAAGAGGAAUGCUUGGCGAUUAAAUUGGCGAAGUUUUCUGUGGGAGCAACCAUUUCAGUUGAGUGGUACCGACGGGUGAAGAUCUGCUAGCAGUCGAUUUUGUGUGGGCGACGAAGGAAAGAGAGGAUAAUAAAGAGAGCCUUUCAAACCAUCGAUUCUCAUCUUUUAUCGAACCACGUGUUAUAACACUGAGCCUUUUGUGGAAAUCCUAUCAUGCUGUGUGCAGCAAUCUUAAAAUGAUUUCUCAAGACAGGAGUAUUUUUUUUCAUUCAGCAUUUAUCGAAUGGCGGUUACACAUUGAGAUCCUAAAUUCACUUUUUUAAAUCCCACGUGUUUUUGGGUCGGUUUGGAAAUUUUUCUGAUUCACAUGAUUUGGAAUGCCUGCCAAUGGAUGUUGAUAUGGGCGGUUUUUGACGAGAUCAACAAACAACAACAAGAGGAAGAAUGGAAUCGAAGAAAGAGUCUUCAUUCUGUGUCUUCUUCUGUGCCUUCUCCUUUCUUCUUCUUCUGGUGUUAGGAGUGGUGGGGUGGAGAAUCAUCACCAUAGAGGAUAAACUCUUGAAGAUGAGUUGGGAACAUGAGGAGCAACAGAUGAGGAUUGUCAGCUUGGAGGAGAGGAUAGAUCUUCUCUCGCAGAGGGUGGCGAGGAACCCUUCGGAAAGAAAGAACAACAGAAAAUUAAAAAGAGAAACAGCGGCAUGUGUUUGUCAACCGGGACCACCUGGAAAAAGGGGAAAGAGGGGAAGAAAAGGAGAGUCAGGAGAUGUUGGCCCACCGGGACCAGUAGGCCCUCCAGGAAAACCAGGAUUUCCGGGUGCUAUUGGUAUCGAUGGUCCGAAAGGUGAUCCAGGUGAAAAAGGAGACAAAGGAGAGAAGGGUGAAAGUGGAGGCGAUUUUUUUACGACAACAAAAGGUUACAUAAAACGAUCUCUCAACGAGGGAACAUUUGAAAAUGAAGUAUCAUCUGCAAUGAAGGGCCUUGCUAGUUUAGGUAUGACUCUAGCUCCUGGAGAUUUGCUUUUAUUAAAAGGUGAGCCUGGUGUUCCAGGACCACCUGGCCCUCCAGGUCCACCAGGGCCUACUGGAUUACCUGGAUUUGAUGGGAGAGUUGGAUUGCCCGGAGAACCAGGACCUCCCGGAGAACUUGGUUCCUCUGGUCCUCCUGGUCCUGUAGGUCCGAUGGGAAAGGACGGACUUCCAGGACCGAAGGGUGAAAAAGGUGACAAAGGUGAUCGAGGUCUUACAACAACUUUAGAUGGCAAUGCAUUUCCCACUGGAUUCAUCGAAGGCCCUCCUGGUCCCCCUGGGCCUCCUGGCCCCGCUGGCCCUCCCGGAAGAAAGGGUGAUGUCGGCAUCCCCGGCCCACCUGGCGAACACGGAGACAAGGGUGAUAAAGGCGAGCGGGGGCGUAGAGGAAAAAGGGGUCUGAAUGGCAUUCCUGGUAAAGACGGAAUUGAUGGUAAAUCAGGACUUAUAGGCCAACCCGGACUGGACGGGAUGAAGGGUGAAAGGGGUGACUCUGGAAAAAAAGGAGAGAAAGGGGAACCAGGAUUAUCGGGUACGGAUGGAAUUCCUGGAUUGCCGGUAACUAUAUCAAAGGAUGGUGAACUAUAAAAUCUGUGCAUGAAAACAAGCAUGAUUCUUUCUUAUCUCUCUAUCUUUAUGCAAAUGCAUGGCAUCUCUCUCUCUCUCUAUCUUGAAGGACCCAAAGGAGAAAAAGGCGAGCUCGGACCGCAAGGACUGCGAGGUAAGCGAGGAAAAAGAGGUGAAAAAGGAGAAAAAGGUGACCAAGGUGUUCCAGGACUGGAUG